rnacentral:rRNA from 1 species
UACGUAGGGUGCGAGCGUUGUCCGGAAUUAUUGGGCGUAAAGGGCUCGUAGGCGGUCUGUUGCGUCAGGAGUGAAAACUCGGGGCUUAACCCCGAGCCUGCUUCUGAUACGGGCAGACUAGAGGUAUGCAGGGGAGAACGGAAUUCCUGGUGUAGCGGUGAAAUGCGCAGAUAUCAGGAGGAACACCGGUGGCGAAGGCGCACAUCUGGCCCGAUACUGACGCUGAAGCGCGAAAGCUAGGGGAGCAAACGGG